UACGUAGGGUGCGAGCGUUAAUCGGAAUUACUGGGCGUAAAGCGUGCGCAGGCGGUUCGUUGUGUCGGCGGUGAAAGCCCCGGGCUCAACCUGGGAAUGGCCGUUGAAACUGGCGAACUGGAGUGUGGCAGAGGGGGGUGGAAUUCCGCGUGUAGCAGUGAAAUGCGUAGAUAUGUGGAGGAACACCGAUGGCGAAGGCAGCCUCCUGGGCCAGCACUGACGCUCAUGCACGAAAGCGUGGGGAGCAAACAGG
rnacentral:rRNA from 1 species